ACGGAAGGCAGCAGUGAGGAAUAUUGGUCAAUGGGCGCGAGCCUGAACUAGCCAAGUAGCGUGAGGGAUGACUGCCCUACGGGUUGUAAACCUUUUUUGUUUGGGAAUAAAUGAGACUACGUGUAGUCUUUUGCAUGUACCUUUCGAAUAAGCAUCGGCUAAUUCCGUGCCAGCAGCCGCGGUAAUACGGAAGAUGCGAGCGUUAUCCGGAUUUAUUGGGUUUAAAGGGAGCGUAGGCGGCCUUUUAAGUCUGCGGUCAAAUGUCAGGGCCCAACCUUGGCAUGCCGUGGAUACUGAUGGGCUUGAAUACACACAAGGCAAGUGGAGUUCGUCGUGUAGCGGUGAAAUGCUUAGAUAUGACGAAGAACUCCGAUUGCGAAGGCAGCUUGCUGGGGUGCGAUUGACGCUGAGGCUCGAAAGUGCGGGAAUCAAACAGGAUUAGAUACCCUGGUA
rnacentral:rRNA from 1 species